GGAUGGAUUGCAAUAUAUACACAGGGACAUGUUGGUACAAGGUCUCUUUCAUUCUGCUCUGUGGUUCUGCAGACAAAAGCCUAUUGGUAAUUAAUUCUCUCUGGCAGUUCUCCAGUUCCUCCUCAGUUUGAGUUACUUGUCUGUUGCCUCCUCCCACUUUCCUAGAGUUGAAUCUGACUCUUAUUAUUUGGGAGCCAAAAACUCUGUCUAUAAACCUGCCUGCAAAUUUUUGGUCUUAUGGUCCUGUGGCUUCUUUGAGACUUUGGUUCGGUUUGGGAGAAAACGUUCCUUGGAAUGCAGUAAGAGAACUGCAGAUGGGACUGUCUAAUUGCAGGAAAACAAGCACAGGCCUCCCCCUGAUUCUACGUUAUGGAAAGAGAUCUUCAUGUAAACAGAGUCCCUCUUAUUGGCUGAAGCGAAGAGUCAUUCUGAGUUACAGCCUGCACAAUGAUUUUUAUGGUACUACACUACUCUGCCAAGUGAGGACAGCAAUAUAAUUUUCUCAUUGAAGAACACGUGGAAAAUAGAGCAAGAGAAAAAAUUUAUAUAUAACCCCAUCCCGCAAAGGCACUUGUGAGUAUUAAAAUAUAUUUCUUUCUAAUUGUCAUGUUGAUUGGCAUAAUUUUAUACCUAUUGAUUUUACAUACUUCUAAUCAUGCUGCUUAAAGAAUUUUAUUUCCCUAUUAAAGAUAGCCUUUAAUUUUUAGAGCAGUUUUAGGUUCACAGCAAAAUUGAGUGGUAGGUACAGAGAGCUCCCAUUAUACCUCAUACCCCCACAUGACACAGGCUCCCCUACCUACAACAUCAUGCACCA
rnacentral:lncRNA from 1 species